CUGUGUGUUUUGGUUAUAUGUGCAUGGGUACCUGCAAGUGUACGUGCCUGAGUGUGUGUGCUUUACAGGAACUCCAAGAAUCAGUCCCCUUUUAGUUUGGGGAACUAUCACAUGUACAACUGGGGAGCUGGCGGUGGCCGUAAGGGCACAUCUUUCAUAAGGAGAAAGCUGCACUCCUGGACAAGAGACAGAAGCAGAGCUUCCUUUUUGCCCCAGGAUAAUGCCCUAAGGGAAUUAGAUUCAACAAAGUCACUUGUUUUGAGAAGCAAGGAGCGAGCAGAGAGAAUUUGAGGGAGGGAGAGGUGCCGCCAGGAAAGGUGGCCAAGAGCAGCAUUAAGGUCCCCGAGGGACGGGGCCACGAGAAUAAGAGAUGCCUGAGAGGAGUAGCAGGACAGAGAAAACAGAGUGUGACUAGCUCAGCAUCGUGCCAAAGGCCCUGCUGAGGUGCUGCCAGCAGGUGAAGAGUGUGACUAGCUCAGCCUCGUGCCCAAGGCCCUGCUGAGGUGCUGCUUGCAGCUUAUGGAAAAUUGGAAGCAGGAGAAGAGAAGGAGGAUUCAAAGAUGGACAGACCAACGACAGUCAGAAAGAACACUCCAGCCUAAUAGCCUAACCCUAAGAGAUCUCAGGAUGAGACUAAUGAGAAAGACCCAGGUCCUCACUGGCAUCUGAGGCCAUGACUGGGUCCCAGUAACCAAGAAAAGGUGGAGCCAUGCUCAGCUGGUUUCUCAGAAGUGGUGAGGCAUGGCAGAAACUUCAGCACUGCUCCUCCCCAAAAUAAAUAAGGUAAAAAGAAAACAUUGGGGGCAGCAAAUGAAACUUUGCUCAGCAUAGAGGACAGCUGAGGUGUUCACAUGGCAAGAAGUGGAUCUAUCUGGGGGGCUAGCUAGAGCUAAACCACUUCCAGGAGCAGGAGUCCACAAGCUUUUUCAGUAAAGGUCAGAUAGGAAGGAUUUCAGGCUUUGUGAGCCACAUCACGUCCCUGUCACCUAUUCUUCUUGUGGCCACGUGUCUUCUUGCUUGCUUGUUUCUUUUGCCACUCUUAAACAUGCAAGAAAGCAUUGUUAACUCACAUGCUGUCCAAAAGCAAGCUAUGCACUGGAUUUGGCCCGUAUGUCAUGGUUUGAUAACAUCACCUACAGUGUAUUACACAAGAUGACAGCAUCGAGUGCCUUUUCACAUGUGUUCCAUGAAUAAAUGGGUAAGGUGCAUAUGUCCUGUUUAAGUCAUCCCACUAGUAACAAAAUUAUCCUCCUUGUCAUUUUGGAUAAAUGCAUUCAUUGGCGUUUACUCAUGUAGAUUUGCCUUUGCUUAUCAACUAGAAUUUUAAUCAGCCAAAAAAAAGAAACAUUGGCACUCACAUACAUGUCUGAGAGAACAGUAAAAGUCCAUCACAUAAUAAGAGGUAGCAUUUAUUGUGAAGUUACUGUGUACCGGGCACUGUAUAUAUACUUGUUAGGGGCUGACUUGUGUCCCCCUAAAUUCAUAUGUGAAAGCCCUAACCCCUAACGUGACUGUUUGGACACGGGCUUUAAAGAGGUCAUCGAGGUUGAAUGAGGUCUUAAUGGUAAGGCCUUGAUUCAAUAGGACCAGUAAGAAGAAGGGACAUGAGGAGUGUGCACACACGGAGGAAAGGCCAUGUGAGGACACGGCGAGAGGGUGGCCGUCUGCGAGCCAGGAAGAAAGAUCGCACCAGAAGCCAACCCUACCAGCAUCUUGACCUUGGGCUUUCAGCCUCCAGAACUGUGACAAAAUAAAUGCAUGCUAUUUCAGUCACUCAGUCUGUGGUUGUUACCGUAGCACAAGUGGACUAACACAGCACUAUUUAAUUCCUAAAAUGUGUUAUAAGGAAGGUGCUGUUGUUAUAGUGAGAGAGGAGAUCUAAGGGCAGAGAUGGAUUAGGUAACAUCCCCAGCUGGUCUAGCUAGUGAGUGGCAGAGUUGGGACUGAACCAGGCAACCUGCUCCAGGACUUCGGCUCUUCACCUGUCCCUCGGUGGGCUCUCAACCCAGGUGGGGAGGUUCUGUGGGUGCUCUCCCCUUCACAGGAAAGAUAGCUCUUGCUCACGCAAUAGAGAGUUCUCAAAGUGCUUCAGCGCAGGACCUCCUGAGGACGUCUGUAUACCUCAGGCAUGCCCAUCUCACUGCUUCCAAAAGGAGCUGAACAAAGUAGGGACUGAAUGGACGAGUGCUUGGUGGGGGGUAGAUCUUGGAGUCUGCCCAAAGGAAGAAAUAGGAGCCAUAUUUUAUUUCUCUCCUUAUGCCUUAUAUAAUAUGUAUGCACUUACAAUGUACACCAUGGUGACUUUUGUAUAGACAUUUUCCACAUAAACCUUUUUUUUUUUUUGGCAAAAUGUAAUGUGUACUAAAGGAACGAUGAAUUUUCCAAAGUAAG
rnacentral:lncRNA from 10 species